UGCUCAGAAGGAUUGUGUGUGACACGCGAACAGUGUAAAAAAUAUAAUUUGGAUGAAUGCGUUUGUAAUCUAAAAUGUCAUAAUUGUGGAAUAUUUAAAAGAGAAAGUUGCAAAUGCGAAUGUAAAGAUGGUUGGGAUCAGCUCGAUUGUUCGAUUCCGUGUGCUGAUAAAAAUAAAAACUGCCAUGAUCAUACGUGCUCACUUUAUAAGGGAAAAUAUAAUCCAUGUAGGAAAACAUGCAAAUUAUGUAAAGUUAUAGAUGAAAAAAAUUUAACAAAUACAUGUUGUAAUGGAAAAAUUUGUUCCUAUGGAUUCAUUUUAAAUGUCUCUAACUCAUGUUUGUGUGAUAUUUUGUGUCCAGGACCAAUUUGUGAUAAACCAGUUCCUUUAUCUGCAGUUAUCAUUAUUGUCAUUGUUCUCAUUAGUGUCUUUAUGAUUAUGAUUUGCUUUCUCUUUAUAAAAUAUAAAUAUAAAUAUUUAAACAUCUAUAAAUUUAGUUCUAGUAUGAUAAAAGUUUUUAGAUAAUUAAAACUUCAAUUAUAUGAUUUGAAAAUUAAAAAAAAUAAACUAUAUUCCAGUUGUAAAAUAGUAAUGUAAUAAUUUUAUUA
rnacentral:misc_RNA from 1 species